CAGAAUCUCACCACAUACCAAACAUACUCCAUCAAUGUCACAUGCAGUAGGGUUUUACUUUUAUUUAUUUAUUUUUUAUUUUAUUUUAUUUUUUUUGGGGGGGGGGAGUACUGCCAGCCUAGGGAACUAAUGAAAAAUGACCACAGCCAUUUCUGAAGGAUGUCAGACAAAAGGAAGGCAAUGCUGGCGGAUGUUGUCUGGUUUCAUUAUUGUAACUACUUGGAAACAGCCUCAGAUCUGAUGCCUGGGUUUUGAGUCAAGGAACAUUGCUUGGAGUUGCUUGCUCCAGGUACUGCCUUAGAGGUUGGAGGUCAUCUUGGCGUUGAUGGUUUCAGGGGCCACAUGGAGAAGAAAAAGGGGCGUUGAUGGUUUCAGGGCCCACAUGGAGGAGGAAAAGGCAGCUUCUUGGAGAAGAUCCUUGAACUCGCCCCUCAAGACGUGGGCUGUGGCAGGCAGGAAUUCCAGCCACAAGGAAAAGACUCAUGCAAGUGCUGGAGAGCAAACCAUUCUUUACAAACGCUGAUCAUGAAGUCUUUCCAGGGCCCAGCGACCUGUCUGUACAGAUGCUCCAGGAAACCCUGGGUCACUCUGAACAUGUGUAUACACAGAGUGAAAUGGCCUCCUCAAAUUCAGUUUAUUAUUAAAACACAAAGCAAGAGAAAGUUGAGGAGGAUUUGGAAGAAACUGGGGAAAGGAAAAUGAUGAAAAUAUAUUGUAUGAGUUUUUUU
rnacentral:lncRNA from 1 species